UUAAGCGACUAAGCGUACACGGUGGAUGCCCUGGCAGUCAGAGGCGAUGAAGGACGUGCUAAUCUGCGAAAAGCGUCGGUAAGGUGAUAUGAACCGUUAUAACCGGCGAUGUCCGAAUGGGGAAACCCAGUGCAAUUCGUUGCACUAUCGUUAACUGAAUACAUAGGUUAACGAGGCGAACCGGGGGAACUGAAACAUCUAAGUACCCCGAGGAAAAGAAAUCAACCGAGAUUCCCCCAGUAGCGGCGAGCGAACGGGGAGCAGCCCAGAGUCUGAAUCAGCUUGUGUGUUAGUGGAACGGUCUGGAAAGUCCGACGGUACAGGGUGAUAGUCCCGUACACCAAAAUGCACAGGCUGUGAACUCGAAGAGUAGGGCGGGACACGUGGUAUCCUGUCUGAAUAUGGGGGGACCAUCCUCCAAGGCUAAAUACUCCUGACUGACCGAUAGUGAACCAGUACCGUGAGGGAAAGGCGAAAAGAACCCCGGCGAGGGGAGUGAAAAAGAACCUGAAACCGUGUACGUACAAGCAGUGGGAGCACCUUCGGGUGUGACUGCGUACCUUUUGUAUAAUGGGUCAGCGACUUAUAUUCUGUAGCAAGGUUAACCGUAUAGGGGAGCCGCAGGGAAACCGAGUCUUAACUGGGCGUUAAGUUGCAGGGUAUAGACCCGAAACCCGGUGAUCUAGCCAUGGGCAGGUUGAAGGUUGGGUAACACUAACUGGAGGACCGAACCGACUAAUGUUGAAAAAUUAGCGGAUGACUUGUGGCUGGGGGUGAAAGGCCAAUCAAACCGGGAGAUAGCUGGUUCUCCCCGAAAGCUAUUUAGGUAGCGCCUCGUGAACUCAUCUUCGGGGGUAGAGCACUGUUUCGGCUAGGGGGUCAUCCCGACUUACCAACCCGAUGCAAACUACGAAUACCGAAGAAUGUUAUCACGGGAGACACACGGCGGGUGCUAACGUCCGUCGUGAAGAGGGAAACAACCCAGACCGCCAGCUAAGGUCCCAAAGUCAUGGUUAAGUGGGAAACGAUGUGGGAAGGCACAGACAGCCAGGAUGUUGGCUUAGAAGCAGCCAUCAUUUAAAGAAAGCGUAAUAGCUCACUGGUCGAGUCGGCCUGCGCGGAAGAUGUAACGGGGCUAAACCAUGCACCGAAGCUGCGGCAGCGACACUAUGUGUUGUUGGGUAGGGGAGCGUUCUGUAAGCCUGCGAAGGUGUGCUGUGAGGCAUGCUGGAGGUAUCAGAAGUGCGAAUGCUGACAUAAGUAACGAUAAAGCGGGUGAAAAGCCCGCUCGCCGGAAGACCAAGGGUUCCUGUCCAACGUUAAUCGGGGCAGGGUGAGUCGACCCCUAAGGCGAGGCCGAAAGGCGUAGUCGAUGGGAAACAGGUUAAUAUUCCUGUACUUGGUGUUACUGCGAAGGGGGGACGGAGAAGGCUAUGUUAGCCGGGCGACGGUUGUCCCGGUUUAAGCAUGUAGGCUGGUUAUCCAGGCAAAUCCGGAUAAUCAAGGCUGAGGUGUGAUGACGAGGCACUACGGUGCUGAAGUAACAAAUGCCCUGCUUCCAGGAAAAGCCUCUAAGCAUCAGGUAACAUCAAAUCGUACCCCAAACCGACACAGGUGGUCAGGUAGAGAAUACCAAGGCGCUUGAGAGAACUCGGGUGAAGGAACUAGGCAAAAUGGUGCCGUAACUUCGGGAGAAGGCACGCUGGUGUGUAGGUGAAGUCCCUGCGGAUGGAGCUGAGACCAGUCGAAGAUACCAGCUGGCUGCAACUGUUUAUUAAAAACACAGCACUGUGCAAACACGAAAGUGGACGUAUACGGUGUGACGCCUGCCCGGUGCCGGAAGGUUAAUUGAUGGGGUUAUCCGUAAGGAGAAGCUCUUGAUCGAAGCCCCGGUAAACGGCGGCCGUAACUAUAACGGUCCUAAGGUAGCGAAAUUCCUUGUCGGGUAAGUUCCGACCUGCACGAAUGGCGUAAUGAUGGCCAGGCUGUCUCCACCCGAGACUCAGUGAAAUUGAACUCGCUGUGAAGAUGCAGUGUACCCGCGGCAAGACGGAAAGACCCCGUGAACCUUUACUAUAGCUUGACACUGAACAUUGAGCCUUGAUGUGUAGGAUAGGUGGGAGGCUUUGAAGCGUGGACGCCAGUCUGCGUGGAGCCAACCUUGAAAUACCACCCUUUAAUGUUUGAUGUUCUAACGUUGGCCCCUUACCGGGGUUGCGGACAGUGUCUGGUGGGUAGUUUGACUGGGGCGGUCUCCUCCCAAAGCGUAACGGAGGAGCACGAAGGUUAGCUAAUCCUGGUCGGACAUCAGGAGGUUAGUGCAAUGGCAUAAGCUAGCUUGACUGCGAGCGUGACGGCGCGAGCAGGUGCGAAAGCAGGUCAUAGUGAUCCGGUGGUUCUGAAUGGAAGGGCCAUCGCUCAACGGAUAAAAGGUACUCCGGGGAUAACAGGCUGAUACCGCCCAAGAGUUCAUAUCGACGGCGGUGUUUGGCACCUCGAUGUCGGCUCAUCACAUCCUGGGGCUGAAGUAGGUCCCAAGGGUAUGGCUGUUCGCCAUUUAAAGUGGUACGCGAGCUGGGUUUAGAACGUCGUGAGACAGUUCGGUCCCUAUCUGCCGUGGGCGCUGGAGAAUUGAGGGGGGCUGCUCCUAGUACGAGAGGACCGGAGUGGACGCAUCACUGGUGUUCGGGUUGUCAUGCCAAUGGCACUGCCCGGUAGCUAAAUGCGGAAGAGAUAAGUGCUGAAAGCAUCUAAGCACGAAACUUGCCCCGAGAUGAGUUCUCCCUGAGACUUUAAGUCUCCUGAAGGAACGUUGAAGACGACGACGUUGAUAGGCCGGGUGUGUAAGCGCAGCGAUGCGUUGAGCUAACCGGUACUAAUGAACCGUGAGGCUUAACCUU
rnacentral:rRNA from 2 species